AAGUCAUACCAGUAAGUGUGUGACAGAGCUCUGAGCCGGGGACUCCGACUAGCUAUGCGGCCUCCGGUACUCCCCAAUAACCACAGAUCCAGCUUUGUCUACACAGUCUCUGGUACUCGUUAGUGGGCAGAGUUUUUUUUAAAAGGUGGGGGGGAGUGCUUGGGAGGGGGGGCGUUCCUGCCCCCUAGGAAAUCACUCUCACGGAGCAUCUGCAGAGUGUUCCCCCAGUGGCUAACCACUGGUCUCCGGGCUGCUCGGGGAGGCUUCUGGGUCUCUGGUGGCCCAGCUGAUCCCUCCUCCUCCUCCCAGGGAGCGUCUCGCAGGUACUGAGAAGAUUGCAUCUGGAGGCUGGAGCCCCCUCCCGCUCUCUCACCCAGGGAAUCGUCUGGAAGUCUCCUUUUUGUAGCGUAAAACCGCUGGCCUCCUGCUGGGCGGGCGGAAGUCCCACAGGCCCGGUCCUGGGCUAUUGGAUCCUCAGAUCUGGACGCCUUAAGGCACCCUGGCAUCUAAGGCUCCGAUGGAGGCCACAAUAAAGAAGCGGAGGAGGCCAGAGGCCCGGGUUUUCCCCCAGCCUUUGUUUGCAAUGAACUUCUAAGUGUGUGGAGAACUAGGGGGCAAGGCCUUCAGCCCUCCGGAGGUUCCCAACAUCCGGCCCCAGGGCUUGGCCCCUGGGAUUAAGUGAUAGAAAGGAGUUUAGCCCUUUUUCCUCAGGCUAAGACCCCACAGCCUCUGCCCCUUAGCGUCCCUCAGGGGCGCCCUCUUCCCAUCCUCCUCAGCUGCCCCAGCUAAAGGGGCUCCAGGGCCACAUCCUGACAGGAAAUGCUGUUUCUGGAGCUCUGCCCAAAAGAAACAGGACCAGAAAGGGGCCUUCCCAUCAAUCUCAUGUUUGGCAGCCAUGGAUCCGGUCUGGAGGAAGAGGGCUUGGGUUCUAGUUAAGAAGCAUUAAAGGGCCCCCUGUGUGUCAGCCUGUGUGUCCUUCCUUUUAGAAAAGAACCAGUGACAUCUUGGGCUGGGGCUUGACAUCUGAGAGCUUGACAACUCUCUCUUCCAGUGUCAGGACAAAAGUCAGGAAGGGUGGCAAUGGCCGGGAUGCAAUGGCUGACCUUGGCCACUCUCAUCCAUUCUGUGGGGGGAAGUCUUCACACACCCCCACCCCCUCUCCUAGCUCAAACAUUCACUUGCUGAAUGACCUUGAACAUUUAAUUCCUUCCUCUGAGCCUCAGUUUCCUCAUCUGUAGAAUUGGAUCUAUUCUGGGGCUAAAUCUGUGAUCUGAACUCUCUUUUCCUUGGCUCUAGUCUUCUAGUACUCCCCUCCUUUUAGUCUGCUGGUUCAUGCUCACACUCUGUCCUGACACAGUCCCAGGCCCCUUCUCAGCAUUCCACCUCAGGAUCUGCCCUUAAAGCAGUACUGCCUCUGUUUUAGGGGAGAACUUGUCAAUCAACUCCCCUAUGCUUCUGGCUAUGUGACCCUGGCCAAGUCACUUAACCUCAAUUGCUUCAGGGAAAAAAAUAGUCUCUGGUCACCAAGAAGAUAAGCAAGUGAGCAGCUGUCUCUGUUUUGUAUGUGUCCCAAGUGCUAACUAAAUGCUUUUCAUUCAUUCAUUCAUCAGUCAAAUGAGGAGAAUAAACUAGAUAGUCCCUCCUAACUCUCAAUGAUUCUUUCAUCUUUGGCUCAGUUUCCCCAUCUGUAAAACAUAAGAGUUGGAGUCAUACAUUACCCAAUUAGAAUUUCACAAUAUUUCUGUGUCUAGUCAGGAAGAUCUGAGUUUAAAUUCACUCUCAAAUACUCGCUAGCUGUGUGAUCCUGGGCAAGUCACUUAAAUUUUUUUUGCCUCAGUUACUCAUCUGUAACAUGAGCCAGAGAAGGAAAUUGCAAAUUGAUUUAGUAUCACUGCCAAGGAAACCUCAAAUGGGAUCAUGAAAAAUCAGAUAUACCUGAACAACAAUUUUUACUUAAUUUUUUUUGUGAAGCAAUUGGGGUUACAUGACUUGUCCAGGGUCACAUAGCUAGGAAGUGUUAAGUGUCUAAGGUUGAA